rnacentral:rRNA from 1 species
AUUGAACGCUGGUGGCAUGCUUUACACAUGCAAGUCGAACGGUAACAGGUUAAGCUGACGAGUGGCGAACGGGUGAGUAAUGCAUCGGAACGUGCCUGAUCGUGGGGGAUAACGCAGCGAAAGCUGCGCUAAUACCGCAGACUAUCCGAGGAUGAAAGCGGGGGACCGUCAGGCCUCGCGCGAUCGGAGCGGCCGAUGUCAGAUUAGGUAGUUGGUGGGGUAAAGGCUCACCAAGCCAACGAUCUGUAGCCGGUCUGAGAGGUCGACCAGCCACACUGGGACUGAGACACGGCCCAGACUCCUACGGGAGGCAGCAGUGGGGAAUUUUGGACAAUGGGCGAAAGCCUGAUCCAGCAAUGCCGCGUGCAGGAAGAAGGCCUUCGGGUUGAAAACUGCUUUUGUACGGAGCGAAAAGGCUCUCUCUAAUACAGGGGGCUCAUGACGGUACCGUAAGAAUAAGCACCGGCUAACUACGUGCCAGCCGCCGCAGUAA